UUAAACAUUGUCAAACUAGUGCUAUUUACAACCGUCUCUGGCAAUGCAUUCCACUGGGCCCGUACUUAUAAACACUAAGAUGACGUCCUAACGGUAAGAAGUCGUCCUAAAUCACAAAAAUGGCGGAAUUCGAGUCUUAAAUCCUUAAGACGGCAUCCUAAGCCCUAAAGAUGCGUCUUACUGCUAAAACACCUCCCGAGGUGUUUUAGCAGUAAAGCGCGGUUCACACGAGGAAUGUUUACCCAUGUUCCGGGAACAAGUUUUCCAAUGUUCCGGGAAUUUAUUCCACCGAUGUUCACACGGUACUGAAGUUUAUUCCUGAGACGGCAGACCGAUAUCGCGACAAGAUCAAGCAUCCUGGUGGUCAACUCAAGUGUUUGUUUACAAGCACCACCAUGCCGAGCCACGCACACCACAUCAACCACAAUCGACGACAACAAGUUUGCAGAUGAUACUAAGAUAGCAUGUGCAGUACAGGGUGAAAAGGACAAUUACAGAAUACAACGAGACCUGGACAGGCUGAUAGCAUGGGCAGACAGCAAUGGGGCCACUUCAUUCUUGCCAUAUGUCUGAUGAGGGAACGGGAUGAACAACCCCGUGUUUGGACACGUCCCUGGCUAUCAAGGAGGCGUCAGGAGAGCGUGUACUUCCGACUGGUGAGGGAGUUGUCGCUAGAAGACCCAGGUGCACUUCGGGAAUGGAUUCACCUGGACAAAAUGUAGAGUUGCAUAGAGGUCAGUGGCACCAGCAUCCACAUGGUGGACUUGAAAGGCUGCUAUUGGUAGCUAGAGGUCAUGCACAAGAUGCCAAGGGAGUCAGAGAAACUUUAAAGCAAUAUUUCAAUAAUGCAGGUAAAGUACCUUGGCAAGAUGUAAUGUGCUUUCUACACUAGGCUAUGCAUAAAUGUUUGUGUUUUGUAUGUAUGUGUGUGCAUUUUACAUAGUGACCUGUCUCCAUAUCUCCAUUUGUCUAAUUUUUGCUCAAAGUUUUGCACAUUGUGCUGCAACUACCUCCUCAUUUAAAGCUUUCCACUUUUCCACUGUUCUAUGUGGAAAACUAUUCUUUCCAAUGUCCUUCACACACCAUCUUUGUAGCUGUACUCUAUCCUUUUUUAGAUUCCUUAUAUCUUUCAAUAGGUUAGAUGAAAACACCACUGCUGUAUACUCUAAUUUAGGUAUUAUUAUGCCAGUAGUAAUUUUGUCAUCAUAUCCUUGUCAUAUAAUUAAAUGCAACUGUAAUACUUGAUAAUAUUUUCUAUGUUACUCCAUAUAUCUUGCCUGCUAUGUGGGACUGUAUCAAAAGCCUUUUUUAUAUUUAAAUAUGCUGUAACCACCCAGCCAUCUCUAUUAUCUAGUGUGAAGAGGUGUGUGUGUGUGUGUGUGUGUGUGUGUGUGUGUGUCAGUUUGGGUAGAGGGUGGCAGGAGGUGGAGAGUGUUUAUGCACACUUUUCAAGUGCAUUACAUUAUAAGAGGCAAGGAAAUAAAGAGACAACCUUA